CAGUAGCCGCGGGAAUACGUAGGGUGCGAGCGUUAAUCGGAUUUACUGGGCGUAAAGCGUGCGUAGGCGGCUUUUUAAGUCGGAUGUGAAAUCCCUGAGCUUAACUUAGGAAUUGCAUUCGAUACUGGGAAGCUAGAGUAUGGGAGAGGAUGGUAGAAUUCCAGGUGUAGCGGUGAAAUGCGUAGAGAUCUGGAGGAAUACCGAUGGCGAAGGCAGCCAUCUGGCCUAAUACUGACGCUGAGGUACGAAAGCAUGGGGAGCAAACAGGAUUAGAUACCCCUGUAGUCCCUGUCUCUUAUAU
rnacentral:rRNA from 1 species